rnacentral:rRNA from 1 species
UGGGGAAUUUUGGACAAUGGGCGAAAGCCUGAUCCAGCAAUGCCGCGUGUGUGAAGAAGGCCUUCGGGUUGUAAAGCACUUUUGUCCGGAAAGAAAUCCUUGGCUCUAAUACAGUCGGGGGAUGACGGUACCGGAAGAAUAAGCACCGGCUAACUACGUGCCAGCAGCCGCGGUAAUACGUAGGGUGCAAGCGUUAAUCGGAAUUACUGGGCGUAAAGCGUGCGCAGGCGGUUUGCUAAGACCGAUGUGAAAUCCCCGGGCUCAACCUGGGAACUGCAUUGGUGACUGGCAGGCUAGAGUAUGGCAGAGGGGGGUAGAAUUCCACGUNUAGCAGUGAAAUGCGUAGAGAUGUGGAGGAAUACCGAUGGCGAAGGCAGCCCCCUGGGCCAAUACUGACGCUCAUGCACGAAAGCGUGGGGAGCAAACAGGAUUAGAUACCCUGGUAGUCCAGCGCCCUAAACGAUGUCAACUAGUUGUUGGGGAUUCAUUUCCUUAGUAACGUAGCUAACGCGU